GCAGCCACCUUUUAAAACGCGUCAAAGCGUAACCUUAACCCCCCAAAUUCCAUUAAUUUUCAUGAACCCCUAAUUUAUAAUGAAUGACUCCAUAUUUAUAUGGAAGACACCAUGCUAGGAUUAGUAACAAGAAUUUAUAAUUCUCCAAAAUGCAAAUAUAAACCAACAUGGAUGGACCAUUGGUAGUUACCGAACCUAAAUUUUAUGCAAUAACACCCACAAGAAAACUCUGCAGUACUUACUCGUUAACCUAACACCAGCGCAUUACAGGAAAGAUUAAAAAAAAGAGAAGGAAUUCGGCAAAUGACGGCCCCGCCUGUUUACCAAAAACAUCGCCUCUUGACUUAUAAUAAGAGGUCCAGCCUGCCCAGUGAAUUUUAAACGGCCGCGGUAUCCUAACCGCGCGAAGGUAGCAUAAUCACUUGUUCUUUAAAUGGGGACUCGUAUCAACGGCAUCACGAGGGUUUUACUGUCUCCUCUUUUUGAUCAGUGAAAUUGAUCUUCCCGUGAAGAAGCGGGAAUAAAUUUAUAAGACGAGAAGACCCCAUGGAGCUUUAAACCAAGUAACAACUUAACCACUUAUCCCAUAAUAAAUUUAAACCCUGUUAUAAGGUUUUUGGUUGGGGUGACCGCGGAGUAAAGCACAUCCUCCACGACGGAAAGAACAAAAUCUUUAUUUAAGAACCACACUUCUAGAAAUUAGUAUACUAACGUUUACUGACCCGACAAUCGAUCAACGGACCAAGUUACCCUGGGGAUAACAGCGCAAUCUACUUCAAGAGCCCAUAUCGACAAGUAGGCUUACGACCUCGAUGUUGGAUCAGGGUAUCCCGGUGGUGCAGCCGCUACCGAAGGUUCGUUUGUUCAACGAUUAAAACCCUACGUGAUCU
rnacentral:rRNA from 1 species